rnacentral:lncRNA from 10 species
GGCGAGAGCAGGGGGCGUCGGGCGGCCGCGCACCCCGGGGCCCUGCUCCUCGCCCCUUCCCCCGCCACCCCGUCCGGGCCCCGCGGCGGGGCGCGUUGGCGCGGGGAGGGACUGCAGAGGCCCGGUGACUCGCGUUGAAGGAGAAAGGCAACAAAAAAUAAAAAAGGAACAGAUGACUUCAUUCUCGGGAAGGCUCCGUCCUACACGGACCAAUUUCCUGGGGACUGUGGUGGAACAGCCCUGCUGCCGUUGGAAGCACUUAAAACUAAACCAGAUAAAGACCAGAACAUUCUGGGCCCUGCUGAACCAAGCCAGGGCAGGCUGCCGGGGCAUGCAAUUUCUGGCCACAUGGGGAGCUCCCCACUCUUGGACAUUAUCAGCUCAAAUGCAUACAGUUGCUGCUCUGGACAGGGAAGCCAGAGGAAAAAGCCUCUGCAGUGCACACCAUACCAUGGGUUCAGAAAAACAAAUGUUGGCCGGGCACGGCCCGCCUGUAAUCCCAGCACUUCGGGAGGCCGAGG